UUACUUUUUUCGUUUUCACUCGCAAUGAAUUAACUUGCGUUUUUUUUGUUUGAUUCCAUUGAAAUUGAUAUUGGUGAUGUAAUGCUACCCAGAUAUCAUCAUAUCUUGUCCGAGAUAGAAUCGAUGUCAGGUAUAAUCUGUAAAUUCUACAUUUGCGUGAUUCACGAGCAGUGUUAGAUUUCUUACAGCGGAUGUCGACAUCCGUUUGGUCCUGAAACGGAUAUCGAUCUUCGUCGACCGAUGUGCGACAUCCAUUUAGGCGUCUUCUUCCUCCUACGCACAUAUAAACAAAAACAACAGAGAAAAAAUGAAGCAACAGAAAAAUGAAAUCAACAACCUUAUAUCAUGCGCAACGAAAUAAAUUAACCUCUCGUAGACGGCAAAAACGAAACGAAGCAACAACCACCGCGCCGCACACACUCGCCGCACCGCUACACACUCACAUUGCACCGCCACACACACUCGCAGGCAGAAACGAAACUACGAAGCAACAACCACCAACCACCGCGUCGCACCGCCGCACACACCCGCUGCACACACCUAAAACUAAAAGCACAGGAAGAGAUGACUGCGAGAGUUGGAAAGUUUUGUUUUAGAAAAUAAACGUGGAGCGUGGGUGUAAGAAGGGGAGGUGGGGCUGUCUUCGAAAGGCUGUGAAAGCUGAACUAGAAAGUUAAAAUUUGGGUUACUUAGUUAACAGGGUUAAAAAAGUAAAAAAAAUAGAAAAAGGUUAUUUUUGUAAUUAAGGAAAAGUUAAAAAAAAUGGGGAGGUGGAGGAUGAAAGUGGGGAGGUGGAGGGAUCAACGCCCUAAUUUUAUUAGUUAAUAUCUGGCCACGAAUUCUACACGUCCCAAACUAGGCCCAAAUAAACAUUCUUAUUUCUGUUCAACUCUGGCUUACGGCCCAAAAAGGUUCCCACUGUAUCCACCUAGAUUCACUCCCGGCCCAAAAAGAAUUUUGCCGCUGCGGAAUGGUCAUUCAGCGUAACACCACUUGACCAAGCCAAUUAUAAGGUCAGUCACCGCAAUCUCCAUGGGUGCACCACUCACGCAACUCCGACAACCUUCACGGAACAUAGAUCGCGUACGCAUCACAGAAAAAUCGCAAGUAUCAGAACCCAAAGAACGCCUAACCCCAAAAAAAGAGAACAAAAGGAACCCUAAAAUCAAAACCCCCAAAUUCCCAAUUUUGAACAAGCUCAGGGACCCUAAAAUCAAAACAUCACGUGCCACCACAAGAAUGCCCACGAAUCGAGAUCCCCGCGUUGCAAUACGCCUGAGAACUAAGACUCUUGUCGCCGAGGAACGCGGAGAAUGAAAUCCUUGUGUCGUCGCAGAGAUGCCGCUACUAUGGCGUCCACUGGCUGCGAAGAUGGAUGUCACGUCGGAGCAACUGGUUUCGCAUCCCUCUUCCUGCAACCAGAACGACACCAGAAACAAGAGAAAGAACAAGGAAAGAGGAACGCCUCCCCUCUCUACCAACACGAACCUAGAACCAGGAAAGGAGAAGAUGAAGGUGAGUGCCCCCUAGCCAGCUUCUCGCGCGAGAUCAAAGAACCCUCAAACAGAGUUUCGUCGUGAAAGAAGAAGAAGAACAAGAAGCUAAGAGGGGAAAAGUUUCCGAUUAAGUGAAAGAAAAGAAUGAAAAAGUUUCUGAUUUAAGGAUCAACUUUUGGAAAACUAAUUAGGGUAGAUAUCUAAUUGAAUUAAACAAUUAGAAUUAGAAUUAAGAAGGUAAUUAGAAAUUACCAUUCACAGCUAUUAACAUAUUAACAUUAACAGAUUCUUAAUCUCUAAUUAUUCCUAAUUAACAUUUUUCAGGAUUCCAAAUCAU
rnacentral:lncRNA from 1 species